CCCGAAGAAUUUCAUUAUUCGGUCCUUGUACAAGCAACGGUACAGAUGUCUUAUUCCCGGCACAGAUUUGCAUCAUAACUAAGAGAGUAUCUUUCGGAGAAAUCUGCAUCGAUCGGGGAAAUAAUAAUGAAUACAUAUGUCUAAUCAGCUGUAAUCAAAGAAGGAACAGAUUUUGGUUGGUCACUGAGAUCGAUGAUUUGCCAAGCGUUGUUAAACUCGUGCUUGUUCUCCUGUAGUUCUAACUUUACAUUGCUGUUGUUAGAUACAUCAAAUUCGUGUCUAGGAAAGAACGGGAUGGAGAAGUUGCUACCGAAAACUGCGUCUAUAAUCGAUGAUAUCAAUGCAUCCAAGGAGAUACCAUCAGUCACUAUCUUAUUAUUGCAUCUCUAAUGAUGUAAUUAUAUAUAAUAUAUAUAAAUAUUUAUACAUAUAUAUAAAAAGAUCCAAUCAAAC